AUCUCCUCCGCCAGAACCCCCCUCGGCAUCUUCCAACAAGUCACCACCUGCUCCUCCUGUAACGGAACCGGAGAAAUCUCAACCCCCUGCGCCACAUGCUCCGGCGACGGCCGAGUCCGCAAGUCAAAACGAAUCAGUCUCAAAGUCCCUCCCGGCGUCGAUUCCGGUAGCCGGUUGAGAGUUAGGUCAGAAGGUAACGCCGGAAGAAGAGGCGGACCCGCCGGCGACCUUUUUGUGAUUCUCGAUGUUCUUCCAGAUCCGGUGCUGAAACGUGACGACACCAACAUUUUGUACACUUGUAAGGUGACGUAUCUGGACGCGAUACUUGGGACGACGGUGAAGGUGCCGACGGUUGACGGGGCGGUG
rnacentral:lncRNA from 1 species